GGGGUAGUAGCUCAGUUGGUUAGAGCGCCUGCCUGUCACGCAGGAGGUCGCGGGUUCAAAUCCCGUCUAUCCCGCCA
rnacentral:tRNA from 1 species